CCUACGGGGGGCUGCAGUGGGGAAUAUUGCACAAUGGGCGCAAGCCUGAUGCAGCCAUGCCGCGUGUGUGAAGAAGGCCUUCGGGUUGUAAAGCACUUUCAGCGGGGAGGAAGGCGUUAAGGUUAAUAACCUUGGCGAUUGACGUUACCCGCAGAAGAAGCACCGGCUAACUCCGUGCCAGCAGCCGCGGUAAUACGGAGGGUGCAAGCGUUAAUCGGAAUUACUGGGCGUAAAGCGCACGCAGGCGGUCUGUCAAGUCGGAUGUGAAAUCCCCGGGCUCAACCUGGGAACUGCAUUCGAAACUGGCAGGCUAGAGUCGUGUAGAGGGGGGUAGAAUUCCAGGUGUAGCGGUGAAAUGCGUAGAGAUCUGGAGGAAUACCGGUGGCGAAGGCGGCCCCCUGGACAAAGACUGACGCUCAGGUGCGAAAGCGUGGGGAGCAAACAGGAUUAGAUACCCCAGUAGUC
rnacentral:rRNA from 1 species